CCCUUAGAUGUUCUGGGCCGCACGCGUGCUACACUGAGUGGAUCAGCGGGUCAGGUUGCGCGAAAGCGUUUCCUAAUCUUUAAAUCCGCUCGUGAUGGGGAUUGACGGUUGCAAUUUUCUGUCAUGAACGAGGAAUACCUUGUAAGCGCAUGUCAUCAUCAUGCGCCGAAUACGUCCCUGCCCUUUGUACACACCGCCCGUCGCUCCUACCGAUUGAGUGAUCCGGUGAGGCUCUGGGACCUGGACGGAAAGAGCGUUUCGCUUGUUCUGUUUGGGAAACUUGGUCGAACCUUAUCAUUUAGAGGAAGGAGAAGUCGUAACA
rnacentral:rRNA from 1 species